rnacentral:rRNA from 1 species
GGUUGCGAUCAUACCAGCACUAAUGCAUCGGAUCCCAUCAGAACUCCGCAGUUAAGCGUGCUUGGGGGAGAGUAGUACUAGGAUGGGUGACCCCCUCGGAAGUCCUCGUGUUGCAACCCC